GCGGCAAUAGCUCAGUGGUAGAGCCCCGCUUCGCGUGCGGGGAGACCCGAGUUCGAUUCCCGGCUGCUUCC
rnacentral:tRNA from 1 species